rnacentral:rRNA from 1 species
UAGCCGUAAACGAUACUCGCUAGGUGUCGGCCACGGUGCGACCGUUGUCGGUGCCGUAGGGAAGCCGUGAAGCGAGCCACCUGGGAAGUACGGCCGCAAGGCUGAAACUUAAAGGAAUUGGCGGGGGAGCACCACAACGGGUGGAGCUUGCGGUUUAAUUGGAUUUCAACGCCGGAAAUCUUACCGGGACCGACAGCAACAUGAAGGCCAGGCUGAAGACUUUGCCGGAUUAGCUGAGAGGAGGUGCAUGGCGUAGUCGUGU